rnacentral:rRNA from 1 species
GACGAACGCUGGCGGCGUGCUUAACACAUGCAAGUCGAGCGGUAAGGCCCUUUCGGGGGUACACGAGCGGCGAACGGGUGAGUAACACGUGGGUGACCUGCCCUCAGCUCUGGGAUAAGCCUGGGAAACCGGGUCUAAUACUGGAUAUGACUCCAUGACGCAUGUUGUGGGGUGGAAAGCCUUGUGCGGCUGAGGAUGGGCCCGCGGCCUAUCAGCUUGUUGGUGGGGUGACGGCCUACCAAGGCGACGACGGGUAGCCGGCCUGAGAGGGCGACCGGCCACACUGGGACUGAGACACGGCCCAGACUCCUACGGGAGGCAGCAGUGGGGAAUCUUGCGCAAUGGGCGAAAGCCUGACGCAGCGACGCCGCGUGAGGGAUGACGGCCU